CUUCCUCUGCCACAUUUAACCUACUAUCUUUGCUCUGUUCUCUCCUCUCCCUCAGUAAUGGCGGCCAGAAAUACCUCCUUCCUUUUCCAUAUGCGAUCUUCUCAUCUCCCUCAGUGCGAUCUUCUCAUCUCCCUCAGUAAUUGCACCGAGGAAAACUCACCAGCCAAGCCAAAAAUGAAUUCGCCCCUGUCUUCUUUCAUUCUCCUCCCCUCACUAACCAGCCAUGGGACUCGAAUUAGAAGAAAGAACAAACGAAAGCAAGAGAAGGCGAUCGAUCUUUUGAUUGGGGGGUGGAUCUCUUCUUUUUCUUUUGAAUUGCAAAAAAUGAGGCAGAGGAUAGCUCGGAUUUCCUUCUCUCUUUUUUCAGUCUCCCCCCAAUAGCAAAACACCUAUCCUUUGAGUUCAGCUCACAAGUACGAAACUCAUCAAACUACAACGAGAAUCAAAUGGAGUCGAUUCAAUUUAUAUGAAUACGAAGAUGAAGAAAACGCAGAAGAAGAUCGAAGCUUGGAUUUGUAAAUUAGGUUUGUGGAAAAUAUCUUCAGAAAGGUCUCCAAACGAGCUCGUCAUUAAAGCUGUGAGAUCAGUUCUUCCUAUUGCUAUUUCCACCAAAUUGCGUGUCAGUGCUUCCCAUUGCAGUCACUCUCACCAGCGCGUCCAUGUAAACUUGGUUCCCUCAAUUUAUCUAAGGGAACUUCUUAUGGAUGAGUGAUAAAUUGGCCAUGUUCAUUUCAAAGAAAGGGCAGGAUCGAAAUGCAAUCCCAUAUUGAUGCAGAGGUUGUCAAAGUCCUUAGAGAUGUAUACGAUCUGGCGAAGCCUUGCUUAAGAAGUACUGGGGUCCGAGGAGCAUACCUUGCACGAAGCUCACGACUGGUUCGACGGUCUUAUGUACCAUUUUAUUCCAAUGUGUUUCGAUCUGUGAGGCUGUUUGUUAGGCUUUAGCAACAUUAUAUUGAAGAAGCGUGAGUAGCUGACAUGGAUUGUGGUGAUAAGGCAUAAUGUCCCACAGUUUUACUUGAGAUGAAAUCAUGGGUAAGGAAAAGAUUCAUAUCAGUUUGGUGGUCAUUGGCCAUGUAGAUUCUGGAAAGUCAACCGCCACUGAUCACUUGAUCUACAAGCUUGGAGGUAUUGACAAGCAUAUGAUUGAGAGAUUUGAGAAAGAAGCUGCUGAGAUGACCAAGAGGUCCUUCAAGUAUGCUUGGGUUCUUGACAAACUAAACGUUGAGCGUGAACGCGGUAUUACCAUUGAUAUUGCCUUGUGGAAGUUUGAGACCAACAAGUACUACUGUGAUCGAUGCCCCUGGACACAUACUUUAUCAAGAACAUGAUUACUGGUACCUCCCAGGCUGAUUGUGUUAUCCUCAUUAUUGAAUCUACCACUGGAGGUUUUAAGGCUGUAUCUCAAAGGAUAUAGUCACGGGAUGGAUAUCAUGAGCCCAGUGCACAAAGUGUGUAAUGGCCACUCUAACACUAAUGAAUCUACUGACAAGUAGGAUAAGGAAGUAAGUCUAUUCCAGCCUGCUACCGAAUUUUUACCCAUGAUCGAUGAGGUUUUUAGAACCCUUGUCGACAAGACUAAAGGUAUUAAAGGCGUGAAUGUUGAGAUCUACAAGUUCUUUUCAUCUGUACAUUACCGUAAUGUUAAUGAGAAGAAUUGGCCUACUAUUGCUCAGCUUGUUCAUCAAGUUCUUAAAAGUUUCCCUCGCUUACGUAUAACUCACGGGUGUAAGAGGGCUUGAAAAGUUAUCCUCGAUAUAGUUCUGCUUCUAAGCUACAGAUGCAAAGGAUGCAGGAAAUGGAGCAGGUUGCUGGUGGUCAAGGUCUGCCCACUUACAGGAACACUAUCAAUAAAUUUAUGGCAAUGCAGCAGCUAUGGAUGAAUAAGCCUAAUAUGGGCAACAACACUAAUUUGCUUUUCAAUAAUAAACGCUCGACAAAUGGGCAGGCAGCAGCUACCUUAGCAUUGACCAACUACCAGGGGAAUAUAUUUUGCUGGAGUGGAAAAUGUUUAAUGUCCGAUGCAUGAUACUAUGUUCAUUGUCAAGUCUUAUUCCUGAAAAAUUUAAUUUAGUCAGGCAUCUAUGCUUUGGAGGAAAGAAGUUACGGAAAUGGCAGCAGACUACCCUGAUGUUGAGCUCUCACAUAUGUAUAUUGAAAAUGCAGCAAUGCAACUUAUUCGUGAUCCCGAACAGGGUAUAUUCACCUCCCCAGCCCAAAGUCAACAAACAUUUAAACUAUUUUCUUUCUUGAGAACUAACGUUAGUCUUUUUACAAAAAUGUGUCCGCUAAUUUACUUGUGCAGUUUGACACUAUAUUAACCAACAACAUUUUUGGUGAUAUAUUAUCUGACGAGGCUUCUAUGGUUAGUGGGAGUAUUGGUAUGCUUCCUUCUGCAAGCAUCGGUCAUCAUUCUAAUAAAAUUGAGCUGGUCAAUCUGGUCUUAGCUGGGUAUCACAAUUUUGGAUCAAUCCCGGGAGAACAUUGAUUAAACUUGAUCCACAUCUAUCCAAGUUAUUUAUGAUGUAGGACAACUUAAGUUUGAGUAUAUCUUUCCAAUUUCACUGAUGAUCUCCUUGAAGUUGCCAUUUUAAUGUGAUGUAGGACACCUUAAGUUUGAGUGUAUCUUGCAGCUUAUGAUCGCCAAAGAUCUUGCA